CAUGGGUAAGACUGCCGACCUGACUGCUGUCCAGAAGGCCAUCAUUGACACCCUCAAGCGAGAGGUAUGUCUGAAGAUUUGCAGCAAGAAUUAAUGGACCUGUGUGAACAGCUGCCUAGUUUGCAAGCAUUGAAUGAUCAGCUGAGAAGUCGAGCAUCACCAUCCAGUGGACAUGUUUCAAAUCCUUCUGCCUCCACUAAUUUCAAUACUCCUCCAAUGUCUCUUAACAGGGUGCUGUAUGUUCUUAGAGGGAGAAAGUGCCCACGUUUCUAUGGACAUUCUGAUUCAUCAACUAAUAACUGGCCACAAACUGUAGUGAAACCUUUAUCACUUGUACAAGCAGUUUUAUUACAAUUCACAGAUACCAGCGUUCACAUAAAAUAAAUAUCCAAAACCACAUCCAAAGACCAACCUCAUUCAAGGAAAAAGAAUAACACCUUUGACACGCCACAGGGCACAACUAUCAGUGAGAAAAUAUACAACCACCAAUUGAAAUUCAAACCCCAAUGCAGCACAGCACUCGAAAGGAAAUACGGAUCACUAGAAACCACAGAAGAAUCCCCACCACCUCACCAGUGCCAGUCACACCCAUGGAGGAUACCCUGCAGCCACCAAUAAGUCAGAAAGGAGGCCAAUUUAAAAAAAAAGAUUAUUGUAAGUACCUUGAAUUGAGCAUUAAAUUCUUUAUUCCAAUCAAAUACCUUUUAAAAUAACUGGAUCUAAGAAAGAGGAAUUAAAAACCAACCGGAUGGUUCUCCUUCAAGAGACCUAUAAAACAAACCUUUAUGAAACACACCAUCUUCAUAAAUGUUCAUAAAUGUUCAUGUUCAUGCACACUCUUGUUUGUAACAUUGAUAGAUGAAUGAGAUGAGAGAAGCUAUACUACUGUGAAUCUAUUUAUAGCAGGUGCAGAUGUAAUUAAGCUACCCCACCGACUUAUGGGAAGUGUAGUCCCGAACUCAUUCAUCACCCUGUUGCCAUCACAAAUCUAGUUCUGUC
ensembl:lncRNA